rnacentral:rRNA from 1 species
UACGUAGGGGGCAAGCGUUGUCCGGAAUUAUUGGGCGUAAAGAGCGUGUAGGCGGUCCGGUAAGUCGGCUGUGAAAGUCCAGGGCUCAACCCUGGGAUGCCGGUCGAUACUGCCGGACUAGAGUUCGGAAGAGGCGAGUGGAAUUCCCGGUGUAGCGGUGAAAUGCGCAGAUAUCAGGAGGAACACCAAUUGCGAAGGCAGCUCGCUGGGACGUAACUGACGCUGAGGAGCGAAAGCCAGGGGAGCAAACGGGG